GAAGAGAAUCUUUAAGUUGAGAAAGGGAAGAAUCGAAGAAGCAACAUGGAAAGAGAGCAAAGAGCGCGUGAGAGGCGCGUGACGAGUAUGUGAGUAAGUUAAGAAGUAUGUGCAACGACUUGGAGAAAUUGCACGCGCAGCUUAAAUUAAGGAUCUUCCGUACAUAAGAGCAAAAGCGUGUGGAGAAGGUUGGAUCAAUCAUAAAUUACGUUCGUACAGUUGUGAAGAGACAUUGAUCAUUUAUUUAGAUAAUACUUGUAUCAAGUAUAUAUAUUAGUACUAUUAGUUUUAUGUUAUUGUUGUUAUUCAUGGACCCAUCCAUUAAAUUGGAUUGUACACACGUCAAGUCAUUAACGCAUCUAAGACAAGGAGGUGAUGAACUAAAUAGCACUAAACUAAUGUCAUAAGGAGACAGCAUCUGAUGUCUUUCUUUUCCCUUUUCUUUCGUUUUAUAGUUUUUUCCUUUCUUUGGUUCACAAUUGUGAUGUUCUGAUGAUGACUUGUGGGGUUAGUUGUUUUGAGAU